UGGGGAAUUUUGGACAAUGGGCGCAAGCCUGAUCCAGCCAUGCCGCGUGUCUGAAGAAGGCCUUCGGGUUGUAAAGGACUUUUGUCAGGGAAGAAANGGAUAGGGUUAAUACCCCUGUCUGAUGACGGUACCUGAAGAAUAAGCACCGGCUAACUACGUGCCAGCAGCCGCGGUAAUACGUAGGGUGCGAGCGUUAAUCGGAAUUACUGGGCGUAAAGCGGGCGCAGACGGUUACUUAAGCAGGAUGUGAAAUCCCCGGGCUCAACCUGGGAACUGCGUUCUGAACUGGGUGACUAGAGUGUGUCAGAGGGAGGUAGAAUUCCACGUGUAGCAGUGAAAUGCGUAGAGAUGUGGAGGAAUACCGAUGGCGAAGGCAGCCUCCUGGGAUAGCACCGACGUUCAUGCCCGAAAGCGUGGGUAGCAAACAGGAUUAGAUACCCUGGUAGUCCACGCCCUAAACGAUGUCGAUUAGCUGUUGGGCAGCUUGACUGCUUAGUAGCGAAGCUAACGCGUGAAAUCGACCGCCUGGGGAGUACGGUCGCAAGAUUA
rnacentral:rRNA from 1 species